rnacentral:rRNA from 1 species
UACGAAGGGUCCAAGCGUUAUCCGGAUUUAUUGGGUUUAAAGGGUGCGUAGGCGGCUUUUUAAGUCAGUGGUGAAAGCUCCAUGCUUAACAUGGAAAUUGCCAUUGAUACUGAAGAGCUUGAGUACACUUGAAGUGGGCGGAAUAUGUCAUGUAGAGGUGAAAUUCUUAGAGAUGACAUAGAACACCGAUUGCGAAGGCAGCUCACUAAAUUGUAACUGACGCUGAGGCACGAAAGCGUGGGGAUCAAACAGG